rnacentral:rRNA from 1 species
CAGUCGCCGCGGUAAUACGGAGGGUGCAAGCGUUAAUCGGAAUUACUGGGCGUAAAGCGCACGCAGGCGGUCUAUCAAGUCAGAUGUGAAAUCCCCGGGCUUAACCUGGGAACUGCAUUUGAAACUGGCAGGCUAGAGUCUUGUAGAGGGGGGUAGAAUUCCAGGUGUAGCGGUGAAAUGCGUAGAGAUCUGGAGGAAUACCGGUGGCGAAGGCGGCCCCCUGGACAAAGACUGACGCUCAGGUGCGAAAGCGUGGGGAGCAAACAGGAUUAGAUACCCCUGUAGUCCCUGUCUCUUAUAC